GACGAACGCUGGCGGCGUGCUUAACACAUGCAAGUCGAACGGAAAGGCCCUGCUUUUGUGGGGUGCUCGAGUGGCGAACGGGUGAGUAACACGUGAGUAACCUGCCCUUGACUUUGGGAUAACUUCAGGAAACUGGGGCUAAUACCGGAUAGGAGCUCCUGCUGCAUGGUGGGGGUUGGAAAGUUUCGGCGGUUGGGGAUGGACUCGCGGCUUAUCAGCUUGUUGGUGGGGUAGUGGCUUACCAAGGCUUUGACGGGUAGCCGGCCUGAGAGGGUGACCGGCCACAUUGGGACUGAGAUACGGCCCAGACUCCUACGGGAGGCAGCAGUGGGGAAUAUUGCACAAUGGGCGGAAGCCUGAUGCAGCAACGCCGCGUGCGGGAUGACGGCCUUCGGGUUGUAAACCGCUUUCGCCUGUGACGAAGCGUGAGUGACGGUAAUGGAUAAAGAAGCACCGGCUAACUACGUGCCAGCAGCCGCGGUGAUACGUAGGGUGCGAGCGUUGUCCGGAUUUAUUGGGCGUAAAGGGCUCGUAGGUGGUUGAUCGCGUCGGAAGUGUAAUCUUGGGGCUUAACCCUGAGCGUGCUUUCUAUACGGGUUGACUUGAGGAAGGUAGGGGAGAAUGGAAUUCCUGGUGGAGCGGUGGAAUGCGCAGAUAUCAGGAGGAACACCAGUGGCGAAGGCGGUUCUCUGGGCCUUUCCUGACGCUGAGGAGCGAAAGCGUGGGGAGCGAACAGGCUUAGAUACCCUGGUAGUCCACGCUGUAAACGGUGGGUACUAGGUGUGGGGUCCAUUCCACGGGUUCCGUGCCGUAGCUAACGCUUUAAGUACCCCGCCUGGGGAGUACGGCCGCAAGGCUAAAACUCAAAGGAAUUGACGGGGCCCCGCACAAGCGGCGGAGCAUGCGGAUUAAUUCGAUGCAACGCGUAGAACCUUACCUGGGUUUGACAUGGAUCGGGAGUGCUCAGAGAUGGGUGUGCCUCUUUUGGGGUCGGUUCACAGGUGGUGCAUGCCUGUCGUCAGCUCGUGUCGUGAGAUGUUGGGUUAAGUCCCGCAACGAGCGCAACCCUUGUUCACUGUUGCCAGCACGUUAUGGUGGGGACUCAGUGGAGACCGCCGGGGUCAACUCGGAGGAAGGUGGGGAUGACGUCAAGUCCUCAUGCCCCUUAUGUCCAGGGCUUCACGCAUGCUACAAUGGCUGGUACAGAGAGUGGCGAGCCUGUGAGGGUGAGCGAAUCUCGGAAAGCCGGUCUCAGUUCGGAUUGGGGUCUGCAACUCGACCUCAUGAAGUCGGAGUCGCUAGUAAUCGCAAAGGAGCANCGNUGCGGUGNAUNCGUUCCCGGGGCU
rnacentral:rRNA from 1 species